AAGAGAAAAUUGGUGGACUUCAAGUAAUCAAGCAAUCAAAGGUGGUGAAUCCUCCGAUAAAAGCAAAGAAAUUGUACUUGAGGAUCGAUAGUCGGAGUACUUUAAAAAUUUGACUCUCGAUAUAUGGACGAGUUUCGUGGACCAGCCUAUUAAAGGGGCACGG